UACGAAGGGGGCUAGCGUUGCUCGGAAUUACUGGGCGUAAAGCGCACGUAGGCGGUCUUUUAAGUCGGGGGUGAAAUCCUGGAGCUCAACUCCAGAACUGCCUUCGAUACUGGAAGACUUGAGUCCGGGAGAGGUGAGUGGAACUGCGAGUGUAGAGGUGAAAUUCGUAGAUAUUCGCAAGAACACCAGUGGCGAAGGCGGCUCACUGGCCCGGUACUGACGCUGAAGUGCGAAAGCGUGGGGAGCAAACAGG
rnacentral:rRNA from 1 species